rnacentral:lncRNA from 1 species
CGCGGGCGAGGGGCGGGGCCGAAGGGGCCGGGACCGCCGCCCCAGCUCGAGGACCCGUUAGACCGGCAAACCGCAGUCCCUGCCCCGCGGGCUUCCUUUACUUUUUGGGAGUCGGGGGCGGUUUCCCUGCUUUUUCCACCACAGCCCCUCCUCCCGCCGCGAUGUGGCUGAUGCCCAUAAAAAGUUGUAUUAAAGAGCUGACUGCAGCCGAGAAUCGAUCAACAAAAGCGACCAGCCUCUCUGGGUCACACUCCUUCAGCUUCCCCGUUUCUGAAUCCCAGGUCUAUCCACGGCCCUCUCAACAGAUGACUUCAAGUUGAUUUCGUGCUUUAUUUCUUAAGAAUAGUGACUAACCUACGGGAUCUGAUUCAAUUUAUUAGGAACACAGUGCCACCUUCCAAAAUUACUUACCUAAGAGGACUGAGCCUGCUGUCCCUGGAGCAGUUAGCUAAAACAGUGCCUCAGUACGGAGCGUACCUGUGUUAACUUCUAGAGUGCUGUUUCCGGCAGCUGCUGAAAUCCACGCUGAGGUUAUCAAGCUCAUCCUACAAAAUAAAGCAAGUUCUUCGCAAUUUAAAGCAAAAAUCUGGGCUUAUUUUUAGGGUUUUGGGAGAUGUGAAAGUUGUCUUAGAUAAGAUUCCAGGAAAGCUAAGAACUAACGAUGCAAUUACAGUCACCUUUCAACAACUUUGGGGAUCGGGUUGAGGAAGGUGUGAAAUUGGGAAAUAUAAUAAAAGGUAUUAUAUUAGUGACUUUCUAGAGUAGCCCUUGGCAGUCCUGUCUUUAAAGAGUAAUAACUGGAAAAAAAAUGAAUGAUAAUACGCUGCAUCCAAGAACCUUGCUUCUGGUGAGGGUAAUUUGCAAACGCAUUUUGGGAUAAUGUUCAGGAUCCAAUAUAAUCUUCCCUGGAAUUAGCAAUGCCUUUUGGGUCAGAGUUUCAUAGGUUUCUUCAAUCAUACAAUUAAAAUUGUUUCUGGAUUAUAUUGCCCAUAUUUGUUUCUAAUUCUCCAUUUUGCCUGUGUUUUAACUGCUAGCGAUUAAUAACUGCCAUAUAAUAAGCUAAGCAUUUAUUAUGUUUCAGGCACUGUUCUAACUGCAUUAAAAUAAUAUCUCAUUUAAUUCUCAUAAAUUUUGAGAAAAGUUUUAUUAUUCCUAUUUUACAGUUGAGUAAACUGAGGCUUAAAGUUAAGCAUAUUGUCCAAGGUGCCUCCACUCCUUAGUCAUAAGCUAAAUUUGAUCUGAGUGACUCCAAAACCUGUUCUCUUAAUGGUUAUGCUGAAAUGCCCUUCUUAGAAUGAUUCCUCAGGAAGUCAAAUGCUAGGUAUAUAGUACAACCACUUUGGAAAACUGUUUGGCAAGAUCUGUUAAAGUUAAACAUAUGAAAACCCUAUGGCCCAGCAGUUCCACGCUUAGGAAUAUACCAAUGUCCCAUGAGUGCCAAAAGACUAUUAAAUCACUCAGAGCAACCCUAUUCAUAAAUAACCCCCAACCAGGAAACAACCCAAAUGGUCAUAAACAGUAAAAUAGAUAAAUAAUUGGUGGUAUAUUCAUACAACAGAGUACAUUCUACCACACUAAGAAUGAACAAUCUGCUUCCAAAUGCAGUAAAAUAUAUGAAUCUUACAAAUAUGCUAAGUGAAAAAAAGGAGAUGUACAAUUGCGGGACUCCAUUUAUGUGAAGUACAGAAACAGACAAAAGUCAUUGAUGCUAUUCAAAGUCAGGAUAGUGGUUACCCUUGAGAGAGAGCUGAUGACUAGGAGAGAACACCAAUCAGCUUCUGGGGAGCUGGUAGUGUUGUUUCUUGAGCUGGGUACUGGUGUGUUCAGUUUGUGAAAAUUCAUUGAGCUGUACUAUUGAUAUAUGCAUCUCUGUGUAUGUAAAUUAUGCUUCAAUAAAAAGCUUUAAAAUGCUGUGUAUAUAUAAAUGCAUAUGAGUAUUGCUUGUGUACAUAUGAGUACCUAUAUAAUACUUCGUUUUUUUUAAUUAAUGACACUACCCAAUGCUUAUGAAUAGUAAAAUAGAUAAAUAAGAUGUGGUUUAUUUGGGACAUAAAUGAAGCUGGAAGCCAUCAUUCUCAGCAAACUAACACA